AAUAUCUACUCUGGUGGCAUCAGCAUCUCUUGCAUUACCCACCAGUUCCGCAAGAGUGCCAAACAGGAAUUGGAAAGGGCUGAAUUCUGGGUGUCGAGAGCCAAGAGGCAUGUGGUGACAGGAGAAUGAAGAGGCACUGUCUCUCCUUGCCCAGGAUAUGGGAUCAGCUCUGGUUGUGUGUUUUAAGAUAUUCAGAGGGCUGCAUGAGGGGGAACGUAAGUCCAGAAUAGUGAAAGUUAA